ensembl:lncRNA
GACCGGAGGACCAGAAAACAUGGUAUUCCCAGGACGAGCUGGAGAGCAUGAUCUUCUCCCUGAGGAGGUUCCGGGUGGUGCUCGCGGACAUCGAGGAGCAGGUGUCUGACGACCAGGCCUCCGUCUUCACCGCCCUGUCAGCCCCCGUCAGGGAGGAGGUGUGUGACAUCACAGAGCUGAGGAGGAAGGUGAAGCAGGAGGCCGGGGAGCUGGAGCUGCAGCUGAAGGAGCUAACGCACCACUACGACGACAACUUCCAGAUGAAGAUGCAGCGACUCCUGAACGAGCAGACGCUCCUCUGCUCCCAGCUCAGACUCCUCCCCCCCCCUGGGAUCACGCUCCCCGUGGGAGGGG